rnacentral:rRNA from 1 species
UACAGAGGUCCCAAGCGUUGUUCGGAUUCACUGGGCGUAAAGGGUGCGUAGGCGGUCGGGUAAGUCUGAUGUGAAAUCUCACAGCUUAACUGUGAAACUGCAUUGGAUACUAUUCGGCUUGAGAGUUGGAGGGGGGACUGGAAUUCUUGGUGUAGCAGUGAAAUGCGCAGAUAUCAGGAGGAACACCGAUGGCGAAGGCAGGUCUCUGGGCAUUAACUGACGCUGAGGAGCGAAAGCAUGGGGAGCGAACAGG